rnacentral:rRNA from 1 species
CCUACGGGACGCAGCAGUGAGGAAUAUUGGUCAAUGGACGAGAGUCUGAACCAGCCAAGUAGCGUGAAGGAUGACUGCCCUAUGGGUUGUAAACUUCUUUUAUAAAGGAAUAAAACGAGGCACGUGUGCCUUUUUGCAUGUACUUUAUGAAUAAGGAUCAGCUAACUCCGUGCCAGCAGCCGCGGUAAUACAGAGGAUCCGAGCGUUAUCCGGAUUUAUUGGGUUUAAAGGGAGCGUAGAUGGGUUGAUAAGUCAGUUGUGAAAGUUUGCGGCUCAACCGUAAAAUUGCAAUUGAUACUGGCAUUCUUGAGUACAGUUGAGGUAGGCGGAAUUCGUGGUGUAGCGGUGAAAUGCUUAGAUAUCACGAAGAACCCCGAUUGCGAAGGCAGCUUACUAAACUGUGACUGACAUUGAUGCUCGAAAGUGUGGGGAGCAAACAGGAUUAGAUACCCGAGUAGUC